GUGCCCAUGCACUCUGGCAGCCUUUGCAUUUGCUGGUGCCGAGUGGGUGGAAGCACUAAGGAGGCCUUGCACGUCUGCUCUUCACUCCCUCAUGCCAUGCUUUUGAAAGGAAAUUUGUCUCACUAUGCACACAUCAAGUUGUGCCCAUCUUUUUUGGGUGUUCGUGUCAAGCUUCUGGAAAUGAGAGAAAUAUGUCCUCAUCAAGAAAAUUUAAAGGUGUCAUUUUCUGUUCUUUGUCCAAACCUAUCACUUCUGGUUUUGAGGUCCUAUCUGCAAGAAAUAGAGCUGUCUGAUGACAUGCUUGUCCACUGUUCUAGGAAACGUAUCAUGCUGUACAUCUUAACUGCAUGUGCCUAGAUACUGAGUGUGUCUCCCUACUGAGAAGUGCAUGUCUUACAGCUACUUCAUCCGUUCCAGCUCCAAAGAAGACAGACCCUUCUGCCCUUCCGUCUGUGAGCUCCCUCCCCAGCCCCUCCUCCUGCACUGCACUUCUGCCCCCUUCGUCCCAGCACACUGCCACUUUGCCCGCCUUGACUCCUGGUGAACUGUCCAGCAGCCCCCUUUCUCAGCUCAGCAGGUACGUCAGUCACAAUGAGAAAAGAAAGGGAUGGAGACUUGUGGGCUCUUGUCCAGCAAAUGCCAUGAACAAAAGCCAUGUGUUGCCUCUGAUAGGGAGAUCCCUAUCUUAGGGCAUGGCCUGGGGUUUGGCCUGGUCACAUCCCAAAGUCACUAGGACUCCGAGGUCUCCUGGGGAGCAGAGGAAAGGCAAGCACUUACUUAAUGGCUGUCCUGUCCCCAGUUCUUAGCCCAGCCACUUUAAUGUAGAGUGAGACUGAUUUUACGUAUCUCACUUAGGUUUGUCCUGAUCCCACAGAUAUAUUAUUGUAAUAGGGUGCAAGAAAAGGGGGGAUCAGUUUGUCAUCCAUACCUUC
rnacentral:lncRNA from 1 species